GCAGGAGAAGGAAUCACCCUCUGAAAUGACAGAUACCCAGGAGGCUAGAAGUUCUGAUGAAGAUGAACAGGUUGAAAAAAAUGGUGAACAGAAGAAAAGUGGUGCCACUGAAGAUGAAAAGACAAAAGAUGAUGCCAAUAAAGAAAAUGAACAGACAAUUUUCAAGAUCAAGAAAGUUAUAUACUCAGAG